UACGUAGGGUGCAAGCGUUAAUCGGAAUUACUGGGCGUAAAGCGUGCGCAGGCGGUUUUGUAAGUCUGUCGUGAAAGCCCCGGGCUCAACCUGGGAAUUGCGAUGGAGACUGCAAGGCUUGAAUCUGGCAGAGGGGGGUAGAAUUCCACGUGUAGCAGUGAAAUGCGUAGAUAUGUGGAGGAACACCGAUGGCGAAGGCAGCCCCCUGGGAUAACACUGACGCUCAUGCACGAAAGCGUGGGGAGCAAACAGG
rnacentral:rRNA from 1 species